rnacentral:rRNA from 1 species
UACGGAGGGUGCAAGCGUUAUCCGGAUUCACUGGGUUUAAAGGGUGCGUAGGCGGACAGGUAAGUCCGUGGUGAAAUCUCUGAGCUUAACUCAGAAACUGCCAUGGAUACUAUUUGUCUUGAAUACUGUGGAGGUAAGCGGAAUAUGUCAUGUAGCGGUGAAAUGCUUAGAUAUGACAUGGAACACCAAUUGCGAAGGCAGCUUACUACACAGUUAUUGACGCUGAGGCACGAAAGCGUGGGGAUCAAACAGG